rnacentral:rRNA from 1 species
GAUGAACGCUGGCGGCGUGCCUAAUACAUGCAAGUCGAGCGAACAGACGAGGAGCUUGCUCCUCUGACGUUAGCGGCGGACGGGUGAGUCACACGUGGAUAAUCUACCUAUAAGACUGGGAUAACUUCGGGAAACCGGAGCUAAUACCGGAUAAUAUAUUGAACCGCAUGGUUCAAUAGUGAAAGUCGGUUGUGCUGUCAGUACUCGAUGGAUCCGCGCCGCAUUGGCUAGUUGGUAAGGUAACGGCUUACCAAGGCAACGAUGCGUAGCCGACCUGAGAGGGUGAUCGGCCACACUGGAACUGAGACACGGACCAGACUCCUACGGGAGGCAGCAGUAGGGAAUCUUACGCAAUGGGCGAAAGCCUGACGGAGCAACGCCGCGUGAGUGAUGAAGGUCUUCGGAUCGUAAAACUCUGUUAUUAGGUAAGAACAAAUUUGUAAGUAACUAUGCACGUCUUGACGGUACCUAAUCAGAAAGCCACGGCUAACUACGUG